GGUGGCAGCGGCAGCCCCGCGAUGGCUAAGGAAUGCGGCGGCUCCGCAUAACCACGGGGUCAGAGGUCACGGCUCCGGCCUCCGCGUUCCCGCGCUGCUGGGAAACCCAAGAGCGAACUAGUGGCGGGCGGGCCCGGAUGGCGAGACGCGGCUUUCCUUUCGACGCUCGGAUGCGUGCGUGUCUGCCGUGGGUGACCUUUGAAAGUUAACAGGGGUGCCAUGGGCUGAGUAAGAUAAACGGAACUGUUCAACCCCGCCCAGUCUGGGGAUGAGUCAUUGUUUUCAAAUUUAUGAACAAAGCACACAAAUUAAGAAUAAUACAAGCAAGAAACGGCAGAGAGACACAAAAGGACAUAGAAUCCCUGAUCCUCACUGUGAUCUAGUAACACUAAUUCUAGGGCUGGAGAGAGAGAUGCUC
ensembl:processed_transcript